rnacentral:tRNA from 1 species
UCCCUGGUGGCUCAGACAGUAAAGUGUCUGCCUGCCAUGCAGGAGACCUGGGUUCUAUCCCCGGAUUGGGAA